AAGAACCUUACCUACUCUUGACAUCCAGAGAACUUAGCAGAGAUGCUUUGGUGCCUUCGGGAACUCUGAGACAGGUGCUGCAUGGCUGUCGUCAGCUCGUGUUGUGAAAUGUUGGGUUAAGUCCCGCAACGAGCGCAACCCUUAUCCUUUGUUGCCAGCGGUUCGGCCGGGAACUCAAAGGAGACUGCCAGUGAUAAACUGGAGGAAGGUGGGGAUGACGUCAAGUCAUCAUGGCCCUUACGAGUAGGGCUACACACGUGCUACAAUGGCGCAUACAAAGAGAAGUGACCUCGCGAGAGCAAGCGGACCUCAUAAAGUGCGUCGUAGUCCGGAUCGGAGUCUGCAACUCGACUCCGUGAAGUCGGAAUCGCUAGUAAUCGUAGAUCAGAAUGCUACGGUGAAUACGUUCCCGGGUCUUGUACACACCGC
rnacentral:rRNA from 1 species